UACGGGGGGGGCAAGCGUUGUUCGGAAUUACUGGGCGUAAAGGGCUCGUAGGUGGCCAACUAAGUCAGACGUGAAAUCCCUCGGCUUAACCGGGGAACUGCGUCUGAUACUGGAUGGCUUGAGUUUGGGAGAGGGAUGCGGAAUUCCAGGUGUAGCGGUGAAAUGCGUAGAUAUCUGGAGGAACACCGGUGGCGAAGGCGGGUCUCUGGGCCGAUAUUGACGCUGAGGAGCGAAAGCGUGGGGAGCGAACAGG
rnacentral:rRNA from 1 species